CCGAGUGCGGCGCUCUCAGCCUGAAGCUCCCAGGCCAGGCCGAGCUCGGCGCCUCCUCGCACGGGACCGUUGCCCCGGCGUGCGCGUGCAGCGGCAGGCCGCCCACGACCACCCGCUGCGCGUGGUACGAGGAUCGCUUGGCGGCGCUGCGCUCCCGCUUGUGCGCGUUCUGGUGCCCGCCCAGCGCCUGCGAGCUGAAGAACUUGCGCAGGCAGAAGUUGCAGGAGAACACCUUGUGCGGGGGCGGCUUGGCGGCGGACCCGGACCCGGACCCGGACUCGGAGUCCGCGGAGCAGCUCGCGGCGUCCGGGGACGGAGACGGCGACGGCGAUUCGCUCGCGCCCAGCGUCAGGUUCAGCCACGCCGCGCCGUCGCCGUGCUGCUCCCUGGUUGCAGGCUUGCAGCCCCUGGAUGGCUGGAUGGUGCAUCAGAAGCAGCUUGCAGUUUGUUGCUUUAUAAAGGAGGACGAGAUGCGCUGUGGCCACAUGCUGUUCUUUCUGCUAACUUCCGCAUCAGGUGGUCUUUCUUUCUUUCUUUCAUGGCGAGAUGGGACGGGAGCCGAGUUCUUGCUCGCCUUUGCUUGUGCAAGCCGUGACGGCGAUGACGUCGGAACCCGAAUGUGCUGCUUUGGGGCUGGUGGGAUGGAUAGGGAUACCGAGUCAACUUGAUCAAGAUAGAAAAGGAGAGACGCCUAGGGGUUCCUCCUCCUUCCAGGCUCCCACGUAUACUUUACAAUAUCUGCAGACAUGUGUCAUUUUCGGUCAGAUAUGCAGAUCUAGGUGCAUAUUUUCAAGCACAAAUUCAGUUGAACACAUAUUGACACUCAAAAGUGUUGUUGCCUAGAACUUUAGCUUGCACUGUUGGUAAAGUAACGAGGAGGAGUAUGUUGGGGCCUUCGUCUUUCGAAGGUGCUCAAAAACACACUUAAUUAUUGGUUGUCAGCAUGUUCACAAGUGUUGUAGGAACUUCGGUAUUGAAUACCUUCGGAAUAGGAUGAAGAUAAAGACGAAGUUGUUAAGCUUUGUCACAACAACACAUAGAGACGAAGGAGAACAUUGCCGGGAGAAGGCGUCCACGGUUCCGUGUCCAAGCUGUUAGAGGCAGAAGUCAAUAUUGCCCUCGCAUCGUUUUGUAAAUUAUAUGUACAAGUCUUGUGGGCAUAUUUGUUAUUCCAUACAAAGUUGUACGAUCCCCUAUAAAUAGGUGAACAUUGACCUGCAUAAAGUACCUUUUGGAGGGCUAAAGAGUGAUUCGUGUAGUCCCUUCCUAAUGCACCUUCGCUCUAAUUCAUUCUAUUGAGCCGAAGGUACGAUUGUAAAUUUAUGAUACAAAAGAGGAGAAAUGGAAUGUUGAAAUAUCAAGGAUGAG
rnacentral:misc_RNA from 1 species